GUCCAUGCCGUAAACUAUGAGAACUUGCUGUUGGAUGCAUAAAGGCAUUUAGUAGCGAAGCUAACGCGUUAAGUUCUCCGCCUGGGGAGUACGGCCGCAAGGCUAAAACUCAAAGGAAUUGACGGGGGCCCGCACAAGCGGUGGAGCAUGUGGUUUAAUUCGAUGCAACGCGAAGAACCUUACCUACUCUUGAAUCCACGGAAUCUGGUAGAGAUAUCGGAGUGCCUUGGGAACCGUGAGACAGGUGCUGCAUGGCUGUCGU
rnacentral:rRNA from 1 species